rnacentral:rRNA from 1 species
GACGAACGCUGGCGGCGUGCCUAACACAUGCAAGUCGAGCGAGAAGUCAGUAACGGAUUUCUUCGGAAUGAAGUAACUGAUGGAAAGCGGCGGACGGGUGAGUAACGCGUGAGUAACCUGCCUUCAAGAGGGGGACAACAGUUGGAAACGACUGCUAAUACCGCAUAACAUUGCGAUAUCGCAUGAUAAUGCAAUCAAAGAUUUAUCGCUUGAAGAUGGACUCGCGUCCGAUUAGAUAGUUGGUGAGGUAACGGCUCACCAAGUCGACGAGCGGUAGCCGAACUGAGAGGUUGAUCGGCCACAUUGGGACUGAGACACGGCCCAGACUCCUACGGGAGCAGCAGUGGGGGAUAUUGCGCAAUGGGGGCAACCCUGACGCAGCAACGCCGCGUGAAGGAAGACGGUUUUCGGAUUGUAAACUUCUUUAAAGUGUGGAAGAAGAUGACGGUACACGACAGAAUAAGCCACGGCUAACUACGUGCCAGCAGCC